ACCGCCCCCACGUACGAGGAGGAAAGGUGAGGUGUGGCUAAGGACUUGUGGGCUGGAGGUCAAGGCUCCAGAGCUGCGUUCGGCACUCAUUUAAUUUCGAUCAUUAACUCACCGAUGUAUUUGAAAGCCUCCUCUUGCCCCAAGACUUUAUUGCUCAAAGGAGGUUGUUACAAAGCCAAGGUUUGACAUCCCUGAGUCAUAGAGAAAAUUCCCAUUGGCUGUCUAUUUUACAUAUGGCUCUAUCCUACAAGAGUGUUUAUCUACCCAACAGCUGGGCUGGGGGAGUAGUAGUGUUUCCAUAGCAUAAACGAGGACAGUGUGAUUCAGAGAGGCUGAGUAAACUGCCUGAUGCCACACAGCUACAUGCAGUGAUGAGUAUGAGUUUCAAACUUGGAUUUGUCUGGCUCCAAAAUCUCUGUCUUCCAUGCCAGUAAAACAAAGGAGGAGAAGAACAAGAGAAAGGUGCAUGGAACUAUUAGCUGGCUGCAAGAAAAUAAUGAGUAAAAAAGGAUAAUUAUAUAAAUUUUAAAAUGGUAUGAAUAAAAGAAAAAUAUGUGAACACUUGG